GCAGCGAUGUCCGAGUGGUUAAGGAGAUUGACUAGAAAUCAAUUGGGCUCUGCCNGACCUAGGACCAUAUCACUUCA
rnacentral:tRNA from 1 species